CCUACGGGGGGCUGCAGUGGGGAAUAUUGCGCAAUGGGCGAAAGCCUGACGCAGCGACGCCGCGUGAGGGAUGAAGGUCUUCGGAUCGUAAACCUCUGUCAGCAGGGAAGAACGGUCACUGUGCUAAUCAGCAGUGAAUUGACGGUACCUGCAAAGGAAGCACCGGCUAACUCCGUGCCAGCAGCCGCGGUAAUACGGAGGGUGCGAGCGUUAAUCGGAAUUACUGGGCGUAAAGCGCUCGUAGGCGGUAUGUCAAGUCAAGGGUGAACUCCCCGGGCUCAACGUGGGAACUGCCUUUGAAACGGGCAAGUUGGAGUGUGUGAGAGGAUGGUGGAAGUCCAGGUGUAGGAGUGAAAUCCGUAGAUAUCUGGAGGAAAAUCAAUGGCGAAGGCGACUAUCUGGCACAUAACUGACGCUGAGGAGCGAAGGCGUGGGUAGCAAACAGGAUUAGAUACCCGGUAGUC
rnacentral:rRNA from 1 species